GUGAAGCACUUUAACUUCACAAUCACAAUUCCUAACCUUAGUUCGAUUAUCAUUAAGUUAACAUCAGUUUGGAAAUGAGUAUGUUUUAAUGUGCCAAAUUCUAAAUUUUUCGUUUGGUUUAACUGUUCACCAGUUAUUCACGAAUACCCCAUUUAGUUCAAUUGAUAGUUUAUGGUAUAACUAAAUAUAGAAAACCCACGUUUGAGAUUAAUACAGUUACAGAGUUUUAAAAUGUCCAAAAGAUCUUCAAGAUUGAUCACCAGAGCAGAAAAUGAAACAAUAAAUACAGUUGUUGUGAAAGCCAUAAAUGAUGAAGAUGUUGUAAAAGUAAUUGUAGGAACCAAUUUAACUUCAGUACCUGUUUUAUCCACACAAAAGUUGACUACAAAAAGAGGGAGACCGAGAAAGAAACUGACAGAAGAUGAAGUGAAGAGUGAAG